AUUGGGAACGCUAUUCAUUAUUUCAUUCAACGGUUUUUAGGGUUUCGCUCUCUUUUCGUUCCUCCGAUCUCUCUCAAUUUCCGGUAUCCUCCUUAACCUAUCAGUGUUUAACGUCGAUCGGCACCGGAAGCUCAUAUAUCCGAUGGAGAUUUACACGUCGAUUAUGGUUUCUUUCAGAUCUGAUUCUCCAUUCGUCAGAUCCACGGUGCAUAGAUGCGAUCUUCACGCUUGUCUUGGUUUCUCGAGUAUUUCAUCGGAGAAUUCCUUGUUUCUUUUGUAAAUCAAGGUUAUCGAGUUUUUUUUCAGGUAUAGAGGCGGAUCGCGAAGCAUAUCGGGAGCAGACUUAUAUUUACUGGUGAUUCAGCUCUUGAACUGUAGGCACUGUAUGAAGUUUGAUACAUCAUGCAUAUAAGUUGCAGAUCAUGGAUGUUAUAACCAUGUAUAUGAUUGAGAGCAUUGCAGGAGAGAUAUAAUGGAUGUAGGAUGUAUCAGGAUUAUAUUUCUUGAUGCCCUGAGUGUGUUGAGAAUUAUAUUCUGAAUUAUCUUGUCAUCCGACCUUUGCCAUGUCAGGUGCGCUUGCUUGGCAGGUCAAAAAAUAAAAUAAAAAAAGAUUUGUUGGUUUUUGGGAGAGAUCGCACGGGGAUUUUGCCCGGGUUCUCUACCCUGUGUGGUGUUUGUCUCUAUUUUUUUCAUUCUUAUUUAUUAUUCCGUAACUCGCUUUACUCUCCAUUGCACCGUCCAAGAAAUUCUUCGACUCCAUAUCGAGGUAUUAUUCAUCCAUUACCAAUUAUCAAUGGUAAAUAACAAUUUAAUUCAUAUUAAUUUAGGUAUCAAUGUAAGUAUCAAUCUUAAUUUUUUGUUAUUCUAGAUUAAUCUAUUAUGAACUUCAGUCUCAAUUUUAAUUAAUUUCUGUUAAAAUCAAUUUCAUAGUUGUCAAUUCAGAAUUAGCGUUCAUCAGCUGUCAUACUGUUUCAAUUCUUAUUAUAAAUAUUAAUAUUAAUUUGAAAUACAGUAUUUUGUUGAAUCAAAGUAUAGUUAUUCGUGAAUGGUAAUAUGACCUAAAUGUUGUGGCGGGAGAAACAAGUGGUUUUAAAAUGCAGAAUAUUGAUGGGGAUGAUGUUUUAUGGUUAUACUUUCAUAUCAUAUGAAAUUCGUUUCAUGUAUCGGUUAGUCAACAUACUAAUAUGAUUUACGCCAGUGUUAUCUCAAAUGUUAGCCUCUGUUAGCACCUGUGCAUCUAUUGUCCUGUGACAUUCAUUUGCAUCUAUAUAGUUUGAUCACAAUUUACUGGUACCAACUUGGGGAAUGUAAUUGCACCGUGAGAACAACACUGCUGGAAUGAAGAAAUGCUUUUGAUUCAGGAAACUUCUGUUUAGGGCCAUCCUCUUCAAUGUUCAAGGUACAAAUUAGCAUUGGUCUAAAAUUUCAUUUGUAGAUGUUGAGGUGGAUUUUCUGGUUAAUCGAAGCUGCAUAAUGCCUAUCUGGUUUUGAGGUGAGAUUGACGGAAUGAUAGUGAGUGACUGCAGUGAGAAUUUCGUGUCAGAAUGUGGCUGCAGCGAUCUGAUUUCUUGUUUUGCCACCCUUUUCUUCACACCAUCAUGAAUUGGUUUCACCCUGUAUGACAAAUUCCAGAAUGAGGAAUUCCUCAUAGCCCUAUUCUUUUACCCGAUAUGAACAUAUUAGAGUGAGGCAGUGUUUUGGAGUUUUGGCAGGAUGUGCAGCCGGUAACUUGUCAUUUUGUUGAAGUCCUCGAUGCUGAAAACUCAUUGAGCUUUAUCUCAAUAAUUCUUUUUAUAUAUUUUAUAUUAAUUUGUCAAUAUUUCAGUUGACUAGUAGAGUCGCAUUGAGAAGUAAUUUAAUUGGUUUUAGGGGUUGUGAUGUUUCUAAUAUUGAAUUACAGCUGAUCUGAUAUUUAUCUUUUAAUUAAUGAACAAUAAAACUUGGAUAUUUCUUACCUCAUCAUUUCCAUGAAA